UACGUAGGGUGCAAGCGUUGUCCGGAAUUAUUGGGCGUAAAGAGCUCGUAGGCGGUUUGUUGCGUCGGCUGUGAAAUCCCGAGGCUCAACCUCGGGUCUGCAGUCGAUACGAGCAAACUAGAGUGUUGCAGGGGAGACUGGAAUUCCUGGUGUAGCGGUGAAAUGCGCAGAUAUCAGGAGGAACACCGGUGGCGAAAGCGGGUCUCUGGGCAACAACUGACGCUGAGGAGCGAAAGCGUGGGGAGCGAACAGG
rnacentral:rRNA from 1 species